ensembl:lncRNA LINC00882 long intergenic non-protein coding RNA 882
GGUCGCGGGGCAGCCGGGGCGGAAGGGGCUUGUUCAUUAUUUUGAGAGUUUGUUGUGAACGUCAUAACCUUUCGUCCUUAAAUAUUGCCGAUACUUGACCUACGCAAGAGACAAUGUCAUGUGAUUCAGCCUAAUAUCUCAGAGGAUGCAGCAUUCAAGGUUCUAUCUUGGAAGCAGAGACUGUGCCCUCACCAGAUGCUGAACCUGCUGAGCACCCUGAUCUUCCACUUCACCUUCAUCAGAACUGGACGCGCAUGAAAUUUGGUGCCGUGACUCGGAUCGGCGGACCUCCCUUAGGAGAUCAAUCCCCUGUCCUCCUGCUCUUUGCUCCAUGAGAAAGAUCCACCUACGACCUAAGGUCCUCAGACCAACCAGCCCAAGAAACAUCUCACCAAUUUCAAAUCCGAAAUCCUUCAUCUAAUCUGGCAAACACAUGUGGCAGGUUUUUCUCACCGCAUAAAAUAUGUUAUAGAGUAGUCCAUCUAUUUCUCUUCCAUGGAAGAGUUCAUCUGGUAGAUUGGACUACCACUUUUCCUUGUGGAGACCUAUUCUGUUGGGUUAGAGAUGACAGAAAAUCUUAUUUGUCGGUUGGUUUGUUUGUUCAAGAAUACACUGACCUUCUACAAGAAAGGAGAGCUCUUUGACACCUGGAAAUUUUACAGAAGCUUGGGACAGCUCUGAAUGGCAACACGGUCCUGAGAUAUGUGAUUACCUGGGACUUUCAUUGGACCUGCAUUUCAGCUCUACUCUCCUCACUGCCCUAUGCUGCUUUGACCCUAAAAGUGAAGCCAGCUUGGCCAGGUGCAGUGACUCACACCUGUAAUCCCAGCACUUUGGGAGGCCGAGGUGGGCAAAUCAAGAAGUCAGGAAAUCGAGACCACCCUGGCCAACAUUGUGAAACACCAUCUCUACUAAAACACAAAAAAAUUAGCCAGGUGUGGUGGCACGCACCUGUAGUCCCAGCUACUCGGGAGGCUGAGGCAGGGGAAUCACUUGAACCCGUGAGGAGGAAAUUGCAGCGAGCCAAGAUCGCGCCACUGCACCCCAGCCUGGGCGACAGAGAGAGACUCCAUCUCAAAAACAAAACAAAACAAAACAAAAAAAACAAAAAGUGAAGCCAACUCAAUUGUCUCAUAGAACUGAUCUUUACGGUGUUUUUAAAUAAACAUAGAAAUUGGCCCUCCCAGUCUUAAAACUUCAAAAACUUACAUUUGUCUUACCUCAGUUCCUUUCUCAGGAAUCCAAUCAUCAAGGCUCCCAGAUAGUAUCAAUGAACGGAAACUUACCAGAUCACGAUAUCUGGACAAUGAGAUGUCAGAUCCCCCUCAUCCAUCCUGAUUACCUAACUGACUACCUGCUUCCUGUUGGCCAACUACUCUUCCUUACCCCUCCCUAAUUCUUGUUUUCCCACAAAUGGUUACAUUUCUGUCCUGCUAUAGAAGCCCUUAAUUUUAAUUGGUCGAGGAGAUGGAUUUGAGACUGAUUUUUUGCUCUCCUUGGCUGUUGCACCUGAAUAGCCUUUUUCCCUGGCAAUACUUUUUGUCUCAGUGAUUGGCUUUCUGUGCAGUGAGCAAUGGGACCAAACUUCUGGUGUUUUGGUAACAAAUUUUGGUUUCCUGACUGUGAAUGCAUUGCUUGUGACUCAGCUGCCAUGAGCUGGGAGAGUUUCAAAAGCCCUCUAAGCAGCUACCUGACCAUUUUGGCCAGAGGUGGAUUUUCGUCUCUCCCCAUUUGGGCCCACUUCUGCCAACCCCAACCAUGUUCCUGAUUGCCUAGGAAGAACAGCCUUUGAAAUUUGACGUCUAUGUACAGAAAGGUACAAACUGUUGCCUAAGGAUACAGGGUGUGUGGCUGGUGGCCUCAACAGGCCCCACGGCUCAGGCACUCAGACCCAAGCUGGUCCCUCAGCCCAUAUUACUAAAUGCCUGACUUCAGAAAAAAAACGUAAACAAAAGACAGAGAUUGGAAGCAUCAGAAUUUUAUUCCAGUGACUCAAUCCCCAUUGUGUGAAGUAGACCAGAAUGAAUAAAUUGAACUUACUCAGCACCUCAAUUAUUAAAUGUAUCCACAGAAAUUCAUUCUGUCAAGUUAACUGUGGAGGUUGUUGUUGCUAUUGCAGACUAAAUGGUUUUCCUGGGAACUCUGACUCUGGCCACAAGAUCAAGACUGACAAAUUUCCUUUCUCUGUUUAUGGAGGGAGACUUCACAACAUUCACUGAAAGAGGAGCAAAGGACCUGGUUUUUGCCAUGACUGGCUUUGGCCCCGUGAAUGAAUGUUUUUCUGGCAUUGGAAAGCGGAUAGCAAAGAGAGCAGAACCACAAAUGGGCUAUGAGGAAAUGUGUUCAAUGAAGAAAACAAAAUCUCUGACAAGAUCCAACAUAGGACAACAUCUCAGCAUCUUCUGUGAUUUGUGAACCCAAGUAAAGCACUUCUUAGAGUUAUCUGGCACAUUCGCAACUAAUAGCUUUCUGUGAAUAAAUACUGUGGCAACCACGUUAACUGUACAAAAACAAAUUGCUUAUUUCUUAUAUCCAUGCUGGAAGAUUAUCUGGCUGACCUUAUCAGCUGUGAUGUCAGGAAUGUCAGCCAGUUAUCCUGUGGUGCAUUCAGCUGGGUCAUUGUACCCCAUCAGUGAGGCAAUUGCAAAGUUCCAUCUGGACAGAGGUAGAAAAAAUUAUAUUCACUUUGAGUUUUGGAUUUUUUUCUCUUAAUUUUCAAAGAUAAAGACAAUUGCUUUUGGCUUUUAAGAGACACAUCUGGUAUGCCUUGGGCUGGAUGCCAGAUAUUUCUGCUGUUGAGUUUUUAUAACAUUAUAUAGGCCUCAAUAUUUUAGAACUAGUAUACAUUUGAUAAAAGUGACUUUUCUAAAGUUUUAGGGAGAAUCUUUUGCUUAGGUGCAGCUGAGUAUUUUUAGUUCAGUACUACAGAUGGCAUACCAAAUUUAAGAGGAGUUGAGUGACUGCUUCAAGGUUGCACAGCUAGUUCUUGGUAGAUCUGGAAAAGGACCAACAUCUCUUGGCCCUUUGUCAGAUAUUCUUUCUUUGAUUUCACACUGUUUUUAAAGAUGCUUAAUACAUUUUAAAUUAAAAUGGUUAUUUGAAUCUGCUUAAACUAGACAAUACUAAUUGUCAAACAUCCAUUACCUGCUUUUUCUCUAGUAACAGAUUGGUGCAAAAAGAAUUGCGGUUUUUGCCAUUACUUUUAAUGGCAUUAAUUACUUUUAAUGGCAAAAACCUUAGUUCCUUUUGCACCAGCCUAAUAAUAAAACCCCUAAUUUUAACUUGGCACGUGGCCAACCAGAAUAGAAACUACAUGUUCCUGCUUUGCUUUCAGUAGCAUUAGCUGAAGUAAUCUUCAAUGGGGAUAGGAAAAAUGAGGUGCACAACUGCCUGGUUGCACUCUUAUAGGAAAGGCAUAACCCUCCAUUUCCCUUUUAUCUUUUCCACUCACUAGAGUAGUGAUCUGGUCAUAAUUCAUUCUGGACCAUGUUGACAGGGCAAUAUACUGGAGAUUGUAGAGAAGAAGUCAGAAGGGACUUGGAUCCCUGAUACUAUGGAACUGUCUUGCAGCCCUAGUUUGCUUAUGUCUAGACUUUUAUGCAAGAGAAAAAAUAAACAUUUCUUUGUUUUAACUACUGAUACUUAGAUCUUAGCUACAGCAACUGAACACACAAUGCUAUUUAAUAAUUUGCAAAUGUUAUACUGCCAGUUGAUAUUUUAUAACUACCAAAUUUAAGUGCAGUAAAUGGGCAUUAUGCUUGUUUAAAUGUCUGGCAAUCUUGGAAUUAUACCAUUACCAUCAUAUGUUGCAUGAGAUGGUUUUCCAUUCCAUUUAGAGUCCGUACAAUA